rnacentral:sRNA from 1 species
UGUGCUUCCACUCGGCUCGGGAGGGGCCGCA